GCAAUUUCUUAAGGUAUUUUUUGUAAAAAAACAGUAAUAAUUGUAGUAAUUCAAUAUUAAAUAUUUUAUCAUUCUUAAAAUAAAAAAAAUUAUAACAACAUGAAAGAAAAUAUCUAAAUUUAAUUAAAACAAAAGUCAGUUCAUAAUGUUUUUAUAACUCCGCUUUGUGCCAUUCUAUUAUUAUGAGGUAUCCAACAUUAUACAGCCAACUUGGGAACGAAAAAGAUGAAGUAGAGAAGUGGCAAAAGUCAGGAGUAUACAAAGUGCCAGUCAAGAAUAACACCACAAAUGAAGAUCAAGUGUACAUAGGAGUAACCACUAGGACCCUUAACCAGAGACUGAAGGAACAUAAAAGUGAUAUAUAUAAAGAAAAAACUAGUACAGCCCUGGCAACAAGCGCUUGUCAGUUCAUAACAUUCAUUAAAAAGUUGGCAUAGAGAUUUGGAAGAUACUUGGACACUGAUAUAUGGAUAUUCAAAUUUAAAUUUUCUAAAACAAAUUAUAUUUUAUAUUCAUUUGACAGAAUAUAUUACGUGGUUUAAUUUUAAAAAAUAAAUAGCUAAUUUGUCCAAAAUAAAAGAGAGGAAAAAGUACAUGACAUAAACAAAC
rnacentral:lncRNA from 1 species